rnacentral:piRNA from 1 species
UUAAAUGGUUGAGCUUAUCAAGAAUGGCCCU